rnacentral:rRNA from 1 species
AGUGAACGCUGGCGGUAGGCCUAACACAUGCAAGUCGAACGGCAGCACAGUAAGAGCUUGCUCGUACGGGUGGCGAGUGGCGGACGGGUGAGGAAUACAUCGGAAUCUACUUUUUCGUGGGGGAUAACGUAGGGAAACUUACGCUAAUACCGCAUACGACCCACGGGUGAAAGCAGGGGAUCUUCGGACCUUGCGCGAUUGAAUGAGCCGAUGUCGGAUUAGCUAGUUGGCGGGGUAAAGGCCCACCAAGGCGACGAUCCGUAGCUGGUCUGAGAGGAUGAUGAGCCACACUGGAACUGAGACACGGUCCAGACUCCUACGGGAGGCAGCGGUGGGGAAUAUUGGACAAUGGGCGCAAGCCUGAUCCAGCCAUACCGCGUGGGUGAAGAAGGCCUUCGGGUUGUAAAGCCCUUUUGUUGGGAAAGAAAAGCAGCAGGUUAAUACCCCGCUGUUCUGACGGUACCCAAAGAAUAAGCACCGGCUAACUUCGUG